UACGGGGGGAGCAAGCGUUGUUCGGAUUUACUGGGCGUAAAGGGCGCGUAGGCGGUAGCACAAGUCAGUUGUGAAAUCUCCGGGCUUAACUCGGAAAGGUCAACUGAUACUGUGCGACUAGAGUGCAGAAGGGGCAACUGGAAUUCUCGGUGUAGCGGUGAAAUGCGUAGAUAUCGAGAGGAACACCUGCGGCGAAGGCGGGUUGCUGGGCUGACACUGACGCUGAGGCGCGAAAGCCAGGGAGCGAACGGG
rnacentral:rRNA from 1 species